UGAUGUGAGGGUGAUCUGACUGCAAUAUCUGUCACCCCAUUGAUCGCCAGGGUUGAUUCAGCUGAUCUGGCUGGCUAGGCGGGUGUUCCCUUCCUCCCUCACCACUCCAUGCGCGUCCCUCCCAAAACUGCACGCUCAGUCAAAGAGGCCGGCCUUCCCCGAAUAGAGACGGACUGGUCUUCGGUUGAGGGUAUACGAGUAGCUGCGCUCCCCUGCUAGAACCUCCAAACAAGCUCUCAAGGUCCUAUCCAUGUAUUCCUCUUAAAUGUGACAUAGUCACACCUAUUUAAGGGGCAGGGACUAGGUUUUGUUCUAUUGGGU
rnacentral:snRNA from 1 species